UCAGCCCGAACUCCAUCUUCCCCUCACAAAAAAUUCUCCCCAUCUCAUUCCUCUAUGUCCCAUUUGGAGGCGGUAAGCCCAUCAGAUUCCAGAGGCACUUCUUCAUCUCACUGCAGACCUCAAGAGAAUAUCAGCAGUAGGUGGAUGGUUCCCACAUCAGUAGAACGACUCCGAGAAGGAGGGAGCAUCCCCAAGGUCCUCCGAAGCAGUGUGAGGGUGGCCCAAAAGGGAGAGCCCUCUCCCACGUGGGAGAGUAACAUCACAGAGAAAGACUCAGGUGAGCCCAUGGCCUUCUACUGCCACCACAUUCAGGGACACAUGAGCCAAGUCCUGUACAGUUCAUGCCUAUUGCUGAGUUGAGGUGAGUCAGUUUCUGAUGCAGUUGGGCUCUGCCGUAUGCUAGGUUCCAGCCCACUUAUGCUCAUUUGGGCUACAACAUUUGUAAGAUCUAGCGUUGCUUGCUCUCUGUCUGCUCUUUUUUCCCCAAGGAAUACCUUUCUGUAACUCUCAUCUCUCCAAAGUCCUGGAAAUCUACCUCGAUGAAGGAUGAAGAGAAAGAAGACGGGAAUCAGAUCAGGCAUUUAGAACAUAGCCCAUAAUUAACCACUCAUUUUGCCCUUCUGGCAUGCUGCACUCACCCAAUUUGUCACAAAGAGAGCAGCAUGGGUUGGUGAUGGCACUGGUGAUUUAAAUGAAAAAUGGCUCUUUCUUACUUAUUCUAAGAAGCCAAGUUGAUUUUUUUUUUAUGUGUUACCUUCCAGACCCUGCAGAUGGAGAAGGCCCAGAGACACUGAGCUCAGCACUCUCUAAAGGAGCAACAGUUUACAGCCCUUCCAGAUACAGCUACCAGCUCCUGCAGUGUGAUAGUCCUCGGACAGAAUCACAAAGCCUCCUUCAGCAGAGUUCCUCCCCCUUCAGAGGACAUCCUACACAAUCUCCAGGAUACAGUUAUCGAACUACUGCACUGAGACCUGGAAACCCCCCCUCUCACGGUUCUUCAGAAUCAUCCCUCUCUUCCACAUCCUAUUCCAGCCCCGCCCACCCUGUGUCCACAGACUCGUUGGCCCCAUUUA
rnacentral:sRNA from 1 species